GCAUUGUGGCCUGAAACUCAGACAGGGUCGGUCCAGGGAAGCGUGGUGUGUAUCCUCUGUGUUUUGGUGUGAAAGGCAGACAGAGGAGCAGGUUCUGUCCUUCAGCGGGAACACGGCAGAGAUUCAAAGGAGGACGGUGAAGCGUCGCAGCGUGGGAUAGAGGGAUGAGCGUUUUCUUCCCCUUAGAUAGUGAAUGUCACAGGGAACAAGCUGAAACAAAAUCCAUUCACAGACCUGAACCUCGUCUUUCUCUGAAGGACUCUCUGGUCAGAUGAAGGUCUGCACAUCCAGAUGUUCACACUUUAAAUCCAAUCAUUUCAAGUAAAUACUUGGAAACAUUUCCGCACUUGCACGCCAAACUCACGCCUAAUUAACGGAUUUGCAUUUUCCUGCUCUUAAAGCAAAUCUGAACAGCUGGAACGGAUAAAAAUACAACCGAGGAAAAAUAUAAUAACUGUCUCUGAGUUUUCUGUAGGACAGAGAGGAGAGGGCUUCUUAUCUCUUAUAUUUAAUAGUCAGAAAUUUGGAUUAGACUUUUCAUUCAGGCCACAUACACAACACGACCAAAAAAAGAGACACAUUCUAAUAUUUCACUGGACCACCUUUUGCUUUGAUUACGUCCAGUUCAUUUGUGAAAAUGAUUCCUCGUGCUCUCAGGGCCGCUCUCUCACACUCGGAGUCCUGGAACAUGGCUGCUCCAUCAAGGAAGAAGUAAAACCCUCUUAGAUUUG